GGAGGCAGAGGUUCAGAGUAUUGUACACCCAUGUUUACAGGAGCAUCAUUCACAACAGCCAAAAGGAGGAAGCAACCCAAAUGUCCAUCAACAGAUGAAUGAAUAAACAAA